CUCUAUCUUUCUCUCUCUUUCAGACUUGCUCACAGCCUCGCACAAGGUCACACCGCACGCCACCGCCGCCUCUCUCUUUCUCUAUCUCUCUGUCUCUCACAACCCUAGACAGCGAUUCUUUGCCAUUCGCACACCCUCGGCAGCGAUUCUUCGCCGUUCGCAAACUCCUGGCAGCGAACUUCGGCGGCGAUGAUUUCAACAGGUUCAUUUUAUCGAUCUUCAUCUUUUUUUUCUUUUUCU
rnacentral:lncRNA from 1 species